rnacentral:rRNA from 1 species
GAUGAACGCUGGCGGCGUGCCUAAUACAUGCAAGUCGAGCGAACAGACGAGGAGCUUGCUCCUCUGACGUUAGCGGCGGACGGGUGAGUAACACGUGGAUAACCUACCUAUAAGACUGGGAUAACUUCGGGAAACCGGAGCUAAUACCGGAUAACAUGUUGAACCGCAUGGUUCAACAGUGAAAGACGGUCUUGCUGUCACUUAUAGAUGGAUCCGCGCCGCAUUAGCUAGUUGGUAAGGUAACGGCUUACCAAGGCAACGAUGCGUAGCCGACCUGAGAGGGUGAUCGGCCACACUGGAACUGAGACACGGUCCAGACUCCUACGGGAGGCAGCAGUAGGGAAUCUUCCGCAAUGGGCGAAAUCCUGACGGAGCAACGCCGCGUGAGUGAAGAAGGUCUUCGGAUCGUAAAACUCUGUUAUUAGUGAAGAACAAAUGUGUAAGUAACUAUGCACGUCUUGACGGUACCUAAUCAGAAAGCCACGGCUAACUACGUG